rnacentral:rRNA from 1 species
UACGUAGGGUGCAGGCGUUAAUCGGAAUUACUGGGCGUAAAGCGUGCGCAGGCGGUGAUGUAAGACAGGUGUGAAAUCCCCGGGCUUAACCUGGGAACUGCAUUUGUGACUGCAUCGCUGGAGUGCGGCAGAGGGGGGUAGAAUUCCACGUGUAGCAGUGAAAUGCGUAGAGAUGGUGGAGGAAUACCGAUGGCGAAGGCAGCCCCCUGGGAUAACACUGACGCUCAU